rnacentral:rRNA from 1 species
GUCCCUACGGGGGGCAGCAGUGAGGAAUAUUGGUCAAUGGGCUUACGCCUGAACCAGCCAAGUCGCGUGAGGGAAGACUGCCCGAUGGGUUGUAAACCUCUUUUGUCAGGGAGCAAUUGGCGCUACGUGUAGCGUUAUCGAGAGUACCUGAAGAAAAAGCAUCGGCUAACUCCGUGCCAGCAGCCGCGGUAAUACGGAGGAUGCGAGCGUUAUCCGGAUUUAUUGGGUUUAAAGGGUGCGCAGGCGGGCCUUUAAGCCGGCGGUGAAAUCGCGGGGCUCAACCCC